AAACUAACAAGGAUUCCCCUAGUAACGGCGAGUGAAGAGGGAAAAGCUCAAAUUUAAAAGCUGUUGUCUUUCAGGCAACCGCAUUGUAAUCUCAAGAAGUGUUUUCGAUUGUAGCCUGCGUAUAAGUACCUUGGAAUAGGUUGGCAUAGAGGGUGAAACUCCCGUCUUUGAUGCAGAUUACUAUGAUCAUGUGAUACAUUUUCUAA
rnacentral:rRNA from 1 species